UACGUAGGGGGCAAGCGUUGUCCGGAAUCAUUGGGCGUAAAGCGCGCGUAGGCGGCCCGGUAAGUCCGCUGUAAAAGUCAAAGGCUCAACCUUUGAAUGUCAGUGGAUACUGCCGGGCUAGAGUCCGGAAGAGGCGAGUGGAAUUCCUGGUGUAGCGGUGAAAUGCGCAGAUAUCAGGAGGAACACCAAUUGCGAAGGCAGCUCGCUGGGACGUUACUGACGCUGAGACGCGAAAGCGUGGGGAGCAAACAGG
rnacentral:rRNA from 1 species